rnacentral:rRNA from 1 species
UACGGGGGGGGCAAGCGUUGUUCGGAAUUACUGGGCGUAAAGGGCUCGUAGGCGGCCAACUAAGUCGGAUGUGAAAUCCCCAGGCUUAACCUGGGAACUGCAUCCGAUACUGGAUGGCUUGAAUUCAGGAGAGGGAUGCAGAAUUCCAGGUGUAGCGGUGAAAUGCGCAGAUAUCAGGAGGAACACCGGUGGCGAAGGCGGAUCUCUGGGCCUUACCUGACGCUGAGGCGCGAAAGCUAGGGGAGCGAACAGG